GAGAGUGCUUGCCUCUUUGCUGACGAGCGGCGGACGGGUGAGUAUGCUUGGGAAUAUGCCUUUAGGUGGGGGACAACAGUUGGAAACGACUGCUAAUACCGCAUAAUGUCUACGGACCAAAGAGGGGGACCUUCGGGCCUCUUGCCUUUAGAUUAGCCCAAGUGAGAUUAGCUAGAUGGUAAGGUAAUGGCUUACCAUGGCGACGAUCUCUAGCUGGUUUGAGAGGAUGAUCAGCCACACUGGGACUGAGACACGGCCCAGACUCCUACGGGAGGCAGCAGUGGGGAAUAUUGCACAAUGGGCGCAAGCCUGAUGCAGCCAUGCCGCGUGUGUGAAGAAGGCCUUCGGGUUGUAAAGCACUUUCAGUUGUGAGGAAAGGGAUGUAGUUAAUAGCUGAUUCUGUGACGUUAGCAACAGAAGAAGGACCCGGCU
rnacentral:rRNA from 1 species